AACUCUGUGAUGAGGAAACGACCUCAAGAUAGGAAGUGCCGUAUGACACUUAUACAGCAGCUGCUCUCAUGCCAGCCCAAGACCUUCUUUUAUCUCUCUAUCCAUGUGUUAGAGGUAAAGAUUGGUUCUUUGUGGGUGGUAUGGUCAGUUGUGCGUGUGAUUUUAAACGGGUCUCUGAGAAUU